rnacentral:rRNA from 1 species
CGAGAGGUCCUGCGCCGAAAAUGUCCGGGGCUGAAACACAACACCGAAGCUCAGGAAUGACUUAGGUCAUUGGUAGAGGAGCAUUCUUAAAGGGGCGAAGCAGUACCGAUAAGGAGCUGUGGACUUUUAAGAAGAGAGAAUGCCGGAAUGAGUAGCGAGAUGGAGGUGGGAAUCCUCCAGGCCGAAUAUCCAAGGUUUCCAGAGUAAAGCUGAUCUGCUCUGGGUAAGUCGGGGCCUAAGGCGAGGUCGAAAGACGUAGUCGAUGGAUAACAGGUUGAAAUUCCUGUACUAUGAUAUGACAGAACUGUGGGGACACGUGUGGAAAGCGGAAGCCGGGAAUGGAAAGACCGGUGCAAGCAAGGUAGGAGACUGGUUGGCAAAUCCGCCAGUCAAUCUGAAGAUGUGAUGCGUACUGAAAUAUAAGUAAGGAAGUCCGUGAGCCAUGCGUCAAGAAAAGCCGCUAUUGUUCAUAUCGUACCCGUACCGUAAACCGACACAGGUGGAUGAGGAGAGAAUCCUAAGGCCGACGGGAGAAGCAUUGUUAAGGAACUCGGCAAAAUGACUCCGUAACUUCGGGAGAAGGAGUGCCAGUGAGAGCUGGCCGCAGAGAAUUGGCCCAAGCAACUGUUUAGCAAAAACACAGGUCUAUGCAAAACCGAAAGGUGAGGUAUAUGGGCUGACGCCUGCCCGGUGCUGGAAGGUUAAGGGGAGAGGUUAGCGCAAGCGAAGCUUUGAACUUAAGCCCCAGUAAACGGCGGCCGUAACUAUAACGGUCCUAAGGUAGCGAAAUUCCUUGUCGGGUAAGUUCCGACCCGCACGAAAGGCGUAAUGAUUUGGGCACUGUCUCAACAAUGCACCCGGUGAAAUUGAAAUACCAGUGAAGAUGCUGGUUACCUGCGCCAGGACGGAAAGACCCCAUGGAGCUUUACUCCAGCUUGAUACUGGGAUUCGAUAUUGCAUGUACAGGAUAGGUGGGAGACUAGGAAGCGGUGACGCCAGUUGCCGCGGAGUCGCUGUUGGGAUACCACCCUUGCAGUAUUGGAUUUCUAACCAGCAGCCGUGAACCGGCUGGGGGACAAUGUCAGGUGGGGAGUUUGACUGGGGCGGUCGCCUCCGAAAGGGUAUCGGAGGCGCUCAAAGGUUCCCUCAGAAUGGUUGGAAACCAUUCGAAGAGUGCAAAGGCAGAAGGGAGCUUGACUGCGACACCGACGGGUGGAGCAGGUACGAAAGUAGGACUUAGUGAUCCGGUGGUAUAAAGUGGGAUUGCCAUCGCUCAACGGAUAAAAGCUACCCUGGGGAUAACAGGCUUAUCACUCCCAAGAGUUCACAUCGACGGAGUGGUUUGGCACCUCGAUGUCGGCUCAUCGCAUCCUGGGGCUGAAGUAGGUCCCAAGGGUUGGGCUGUUCGCCCAUUAAAGCGGUACGCGAGCUGGGUUCAGAACGUCGUGAGACAGUUCGGUCCCUAUCCGGCGUGGGCGUAGGAUAUUUGAGAGGAGCUGUCCUUAGUACGAGAGGACCGGGAUGGACGGACCGCUGGUGUACCGGUUGAGCUGCUAAGCUCAUGGCCGGGUAGCCAAGUCUGGCAGGGAUAAACGCUGAAGGCAUCUAAGCGUGAAGCCCCCCUCAAGAUGAGAUAUCCCAUUCGAAAGAAGUAAGACCCCUUGAAGACGACGAGGUAGAUAGGGCAGAGGUGGAAGUGCAGUAAUGUACGGAGCUGACUGUUACUAAUCGGUCGAGGGCUUAUCCAG